UUUUUAUGAACCGGAGGCGUUAAUCCGGGCUUGUAAUGUUUAUGGCAGGGGCGGGGAUCUUCUUUCUUGAUGUGGAGCUAGUGUCGGAGAACUCGAUAAAUUGUUAGAUAACUUCCACUCUGUUUGAUGGUCGCGGUGUCAUCGUUGAUAUUUUGACCGCUGCGUCAGGAAUCUGAGGCGCGCUCCGCAAUAGCGUAAGUUGUGCUCUGAAUUCACGACUAAGUGUCGGAUUCUUGGAGCAGAAAGGUUGCGAACCGGCGCCGGUUAAGAUAUGAAGAGAGGGUCUACCCACAAGACUUCCCAUUAGCCCCGCCGGAGACCGCGUCACCGGCGGGGC
rnacentral:sRNA from 1 species